rnacentral:rRNA from 1 species
GAUGAACGCUGGCGGCGUGCCUAAUACAUGCAAGUCGAACGCGAGAGGAGGGAGCUUGCUCCCUCUGAUCGAGUGGCGGACGGGUGAGUAACACGUAGGCAACCUGCCCAUCAGUCCGGGAUAACCGCGGGAAACCGUGGCUAAUACCGGAUGAUCCUCUCCACCGCGGGGUGGGGAGUUGAAAGACGGUUUCGGCUGUCGCUGAUGGAUGGGCCUGCGGCGCAUUAGCUGGUUGGCGGGGUAACGGCCCACCAAGGCAACGAUGCGUAGCCGACCUGAGAGGGUGAUCGGCCACACUGGGACUGAGACACGGCCCAGACUCCUACGGGAGGCAGCAGUAGGGAAUCUUCCGCAAUGGACGCAAGUCUGACGGAGCAACGCCGCGUGAGUGAAGAAGGGUUUCGGCUCGUAAAGCUCUGUUGUUAAAGAAGAACGUGGGUAAGAGUAACUGUUUACCCAGUGACGGUAUUUAACCAGAAAGCCACGGCUAACUACGUGCCAGCCGCCGCCGUAA